AAAGAUGAAGAUGAGGCCAUAGACAACGCUUCCUCCAGGAAAGAUAUUCUUCUGUUUGUAGCCUAGAUGUCAGAUUCAGGCUGGGUUAUUCUGUAGAUUUGAGGAUGUUACAGCUGAACUAAGAGAACUAUCAUUUGUUAAAGAGCAAAGACCAUGUAAAUGCCAGAUAAACUGGAAACGGCAAGGCAGAAGUUCAGGCAUUUCAAUCUCCUUUAGCGUAGGAUUGGCGAGCAACAUCGAAAGGUACACAUUCCUUAAGUUGCCAGCCAAUUGGGGAACCACCUGAGUCAAGCCACAAAGACAUCAACAGCAAAUUAACACAAUCUCUCACCAAUAAGCACUCAAUCUGCAGACAAAAACAUAGACAAUUAUGCACAAUCUAAGCUGGAGGUGGGAAGGAAAGACCAGAGGAGACCUCCCUGCCCAAAUGAGCAGAAGAAGAAGAAGAAGAAGAAGAAGAAGAAGAAGAAGAAGAAGGAAGAUCGGCGCUAGUGCAUCAUUCACAGGCCUGUCAGGUUGGUUUUGUCAGAUGUAAAGGAAUAUCCUGUUUGUUUCCCUCUCUGUUCUGUGGUGGAAAAAAAAAAAUCUGAAGCCGGCCGUGGCCGCAUUUAAGGGUCAGCAUUAUGGCUGAACUGAAAAAAUAAAAAAUAAAAUAAAAAAUGUAAAAAUCAAAUCCAACCAAUUUUACUAAAGGAAUUAAUCAAAUUGGUAAUUCAAUUUUUGGA